rnacentral:tRNA from 1 species
GCAUUGGUGGUUCAGUGGUAGAAUUCUCCUGCUGCCACACGAUAAGCCGGGUUUGAUUCGGCCAAUGCA